rnacentral:rRNA from 1 species
UAACUACGUGCCAGCAGCCGCGGUAAUACGAGGGGUGCAAGCGUUAAUCGGAAUUACUGGGCGUAAAGCGUACGCAGGCGGUUUGUUAAGCGAGAUGUGAAAGCCCCGGGCUCAACCUGGGAACUGCAUUUCGAACUGGCAGACUAGAGUAUGAUAGAGGGUGGUAGAAUUUCAGGUGUAGCGGUGAAAUGCGUAGAGAUCUGAAGGAAUACCGAUGGCGAAGGCAGCCACCUGGGUCAAUACUGACGCUCAUGUACGAAAGCGUGGGGAGCAAACGGGAUUAGAUACCCCGGUAGUCCACGCCGUAAACGAUGUCUACUAGGAGCUGGAAUCUUCGGAUGACUUUUCCAAAGCUAACGCAUUAAGUAGACCGCCUGGGGAGUACGUCCGCAAGGUUAA